CAGCUCCAAUAGCGUAUAUUAAAAUUGUUGCAGUUAAAAAGCUCGUAGUUGAAUUUCUGCCGCCCCGCCGCGGCCCCCGGGCCCGACGUCGCGGCUUAUUUCGGCGACCUCGCGCCGCCGAAUGUUUACUUUGAGAAAAUUAGAGUGCUCAAAGCAGGCCCUUGCCUUGAAUACUUUAGCAUGGAAUAAUAAAGUAGGACUUUGGUUCUAUUUUGUUGGUUUAGCGCCAAAGUAAUGGUUAAUAGGAACAGUUGGGGGCAUUCGUAUUUAACUGUCAGAGGUGAAAUUCUUAGAAUUGUUAAAGACGAACCACUGCGAAAGCAUUUGCCAAGGAUGUUUUCAUUAAUCAAGAACGAAAGUUAGGGGAUCGAAGACGAU
rnacentral:rRNA from 1 species